rnacentral:rRNA from 1 species
GACGAACGCUGGCGGCGUGCUUAACACAUGCAAGUCGAACGGAAAGGCCCUGCUUUUGUGGGGUGCUCGAGUGGCGAACGGGUGAGUAACACGUGAGUAACCUGCCCUUGACUUUGGGAUAACUUCAGGAAACUGGGGCUAAUACCGGGUAGGAGCUCCUGCUGCAUGGUGGGGGUUGGAAAGUUUCGGCGGUUGGGGAUGGACUCGCGGCUUAUCAGCUUGUUGGUGGGGUAGUGGCUUACCAAGGCUUUGACGGGUAGCCGGCCUGAGAGGGUGACCGGCCACGUUGGGACUGAGAUACGGCCCAGACUCCUACGGGAGGCAGCAGUGGGGAAUAUUGCACAAUGGGCGGAAGCCUGAUGCAGCAACGCCGCGUGCGGGAUGACGGCCUUCGGGUUGUAAACCGCUUUCGCCUGUGACGAAGCGUGAGUGACGGUAAUGGGUAAAGAAGCACCGGCUAACUACGUG